rnacentral:rRNA from 1 species
CCUACGGGAGGCAGCAGUGAGGAAUAUUGGUCAAUGGACGGAAGUCUGAACCAGCCAUGCAGCGUGCAGGAAGACGGCUCGAUGAGUUGUAAACUGCUUUUGUACAAGGGUAAACCUGAAGACGUGUAUGCAGCUGAAAGGACUGUACGAAGAAGGAUCGGCUAACUCCGUGCCAGCAGCCGCGGUAAUACGGAGGAUCCAAGCGUUAUCCGGAUUUAGUGGGUUUAAAGGGUGCGUAGGCGGAUUGAUAAGUUAGAGGUGAAAUGUCCGAGCUUAACUCGGGAACUGCCUCUAAUACUGUUGAUCUCGAGCGUAGCUGCGGUAGGCGGAAUGUCUUGUGUAGCGG